CCUGUCAGAUGUUAUUUAUUUCAUAUACCCUGGUAAGUAUGCAAUAACUUAUGGGCAUGGCAAAUGGUACUAGCUGUCCCUUAUAAUUAUUUCUAGAUACCUGUAUAGUAGUGAUGCCUAUAUCAUUUCACAUUCUCCUGGUACUGUUUUAGGAGUCGAAGAAGUCAUACUCUUGCCAGACACUGUUGGCUAUUGAAGGCACUUGUCCUGCAUGACUUCAAAGGUUCAUUGAACUUGGAAAUCAGUGAACUCCUAAACCAGAGCAUGAUAAGAAUAUGUAUAGAACAAGUUCUGGUGAAAUUGACUUUCCAUCAACUUAAUAACUAUUAAUGUAUUGGAUGCAGUGAAGCAUCACCCUACAUGAUCCAUCUUUAAAGAGAAGAAGAAAUAUUAUUAAUAUAUGAAAAAAACCCAAAUACAUAAAUUGGUUUUAAUAUGAGCAUUCACUAAAUACGUUGUCUGUAAUGUGGCCCAUUUGGGUUGCCCUAAAAUCUCUGUAGACCUGCCUUGAGGAAUACAGGUAAAUUUUGUAUAUGUGGUUUUUCUAACUAAUUUUCCUUUAGUAUUUCUUCCAUAUUACCAUUAAACUGUGUUGCAUUUGUUAGCUUGGUUAUUGAAAAGAAUGUGGAAUUGUACUCUGUACUUUCCAUCUCAUAAGCAUUUCAUUAGGGUUGUAAUGAGUAACAGCUUGAGUGCUGUAAGAAGCUUUUUCUUAUAUUAUGACCCUUGACACACACAAAACCACAUUGUCUUGAAUCCGUCUUUAAUCAGAGGACAGGCCUCCUGUUCAAGUCAUUCAGUAAAUAAUUGUAUGUGAUCAGCAGCCAGGUUAGCCUGAAGCCAGUGCAUUAGACAGAUGCUCUUAAAUGUCUAGCCCUCAUCAGAGAAAUAAUUUCUCUAGAGGCUGCCGCUCACACACAAGCCCCAAACCAGCCCAAACUGAUUUUACUAAACUGAGAAACUGAAGCUGUGAGAUGCCGUUUCUGCUUCUAGGAGGGAAAGACUAAACCUGGUUUCCUUAAAUCCUUCAUGACCCACACACUGAGUGACUAAAUUUCCAUUUGGAACCCAGCCGCCACUUCAUUCUAUUUACUUUCCUGCAGCACCCAACCCUUUAAGUACCUACCAGAAGGCACUUACCUCACUGGCCCAAAAGUGUCCUGGAAACCAACUUUCAAGCACUACCCAGGAGCAAGAUGUAACCUAAACUUUUUCAGUGCAGGUCAGGUAAGGUCCCGAAAACGUAUGCUAAAGUAAUUACAGCAGAGACACCAUGAGAAGAGUCCAAGUCUUGAGCUGCUGGAGUAUGCACAAGCAAAAAGACUGUUUGAA